rnacentral:rRNA from 1 species
ACGAACGCUGGCGGCGUGCCUAAUACAUGCAAGUCGCACGAGAGCGACCGGUGCUUGCACUGGUCAAUCUAGUGGCGAACGGGUGAGUAACACGUGGGUAACCUGCCCAUCAGAGGGGGAUAACAUCCGGAAACGGAUGCUAAAACCGCAUAGGUCUUCGAGCCGCAUGGCUUGAAGAGGAAAAGAGGCGCAAGCUUCUGCUGAUGGAUGGACCCGCGGUGCAUUAGCUAGUUGGUGAGGUAACGGCUCACCAAGGCCGUGAUGCAUAGCCGACCUGAGAGGGUGAUCGGCCACAUUGGGACUGAGACACGGCCCAAACUCCUACGGGAGGCAGCAGUAGGGAAUCUUCCGCAAUGGACGCAAGUCUGACGGAGCAACGCCGCGUGAGUGAAGAAGGUUUUCGGAUCGUAAAACUCUGUUGUUAGAGAAGAACAAGUGCUAGAGUAACUGUUAGCGCCUUGACGGUAUCUAACCAGAAAGCCACGGCUAACUACGUG